GUUCUGCCCCCUCCAGGCGGCCCGCUGGUUGGCUGCUGGUUUCGGGCCAGCUCCGCCCCUCUCCUUGGUGGCUGUAUUAACGCCGCGCUCACUGCCUCGGCCUUUCGGUCCCGGCCUUGGUGGCCGACCCACCCGAGCCGGUCCCCACUGCUCAGCCGUGCUGCUGCCUCGGACACAAGCGCAGGCUGAAGACUACAAGAAAAGAAACUCGUGAGCUGAGUGCCUCCACGGUGAAGUACUCUUACCUAUAGCGACCAGGUUUGCCUGUAACGCAUUUUAGGAUUAGUGUGGAAGCUGAAGUAGGUGAGGUCCACUUUACAGAUAAAGAACGGGGGCCGUGGAAGUAUCCUUGAAUGGCCUUGUAGUAAUUGUGAUUACGCUGAUGGUGAUUUCCUAAAGUUUUUAAUCAACAUACUAGGAUCCUACCCUCCUCCCCUUUUCUGUCUGGCAGUCCUGGAAUCAGGUCUACCUGGCUCUGACAUGUUGGGGGUUUUGAAGGCACAAACCAAAAGAGGAUUUUAAGGAUGUUAUGCUAGGUCAUUAGAGUGUGUCUGGUCUACUUGCUAGGAGUUCUUUGCUUGUAACCAGUCAUGUGCUAGCAAUUGAGCAAUAUACAGGUUUUAACCUGUAUAUUGUUGCCAGUGAGUAAUUUUCCAUAAUCUUAAAUAAAGGCUUUUCCUGCAUCAA